rnacentral:lncRNA from 10 species
ACUAAAGACCACACGCUCCAUUGAACAUUUAUGGCUGCAAAUGGCUCCUCCGUGCAGGCAAGGGAGGGGGCUGCGCAUGCUUAGGGUGAGGUGAGGACAUGGAAGCACAGGGAGGUUAUGCCACUCGCCCAAAGACAACUAAUCAGUGACAGCUGAGACUUGGACUGCAGAACCUACACUUUAUAACUAUUUUACAGUUCUGGGCGUCACGGAAUCUUGCAUGAAGAGCCCCUAACCUGGCCCGGGUGGAGGCUCUGCUUCCUCAGUGUCAGCAUCAUUCACAGCAGGCAUGUCCCUCCUGCCUCCAAGAGAGUCACCAGCAGCUUCCUCCUCCACAUCUGUUCUCUCUCUCUCUCUGGCCAUUCACUGUGGGGGAAGUCAGUUCCAUGCCCUGAGUCCAUUCAGGCAGCUUGUGAAGAGGCCCACAUGGCCAAUAGCCAGUGAGGAACUGAGGCCUGCAGUGACCACUUGGAUGAGCUUGGAAGCACGUCCUCCAGCCCCAGUCAAGUCUUGAGGUGAGACCACAGUCCUGGCCAACAGGUGACUACAACAUCACGGGAAACCCAAAGCCAUUCAGCUAAGCCACUCUCAGAUUGCUGAUCCCCAGAAGCUGCAUGAGAUAAUAAAUGUUUGUUGUUUUAAG